GAAGGCGGCUGAGGACUUAUCUUUGGUUGAAGCCUCGAACGAAGAUAAGAAAGUCGAUCAGGUUGAUAAAAAAGAGAAGGAGGCUCAGAUUGAAGUACCAGUAAUGGAGAAAGGAAAGUCAAGGUCUCGGGCUCGUAGAAGAUCGAGAUCUAGAGCCAAAGCAAGAGCCUUGAGUUCCCCUCCGGAGGCCUUGGUAGUUGUGCCGGAGGAUCAGGAGAGAAAAGAGCAGGAGGUGAGCUUUGUAGGAGUCCAGGAUAGGGGGUUAAAAAAUAAGAAGUCUGUGGAGGGUGAUAGAGAGGAGGAAGAUAAGGUUCAGGAGGAGGUCAAUC
rnacentral:lncRNA from 1 species